rnacentral:tRNA from 1 species
GGGCGAUUAGCUCAGCUGGUAGAGCGUCUCGUUUACACCGAGAAUGUCGGCGGUUCGAGCCCGUCAUCGCCCACCA